rnacentral:rRNA from 1 species
GAUGAACGCUAGCUACAGGCUUAACACAUGCAAGUCGAGGGGAAACGACAUCGAAAGCUUGCUUUUGAUGGGCGUCGACCGGCGCACGGGUGAGUAACGCGUAUCCAACCUGCCCAUCACUUGGGAAUAACCUUGCGAAAGUAAGACUAAUACCCAAUGAUAUCCCACGAAGGCAUCGGAAUGGGAUUAAAGAUUUAUCGGUGAUGGAUGGGGAUGCGUCUGAUUAGCUUGUUGGCGGGGUAACGGCCCACCAAGGCAACGAUCAGUAGGGGUUCUGAGAGGAAGGGCCCCCACAUUGGAACUGAGACACGGUCCAAACUCCUACGGGAGGCAGCAGUGAGGAAUAUUGGUCAAUGGGCGAGAGCCCGAACCAGCCAAGUAGCGUGCAGGAAGACGGCCCUAUGGGUUGUAAACUGCUUUUAUAAGGGAAUAAAGUGGGUCACGUGUGACUUUUUGCAUGUACCUUAUGAAUAAGGACCGGCUAAUUCCGUG